CCUACGGUGUGCAGCAGUAGGGAAUAUUGCUCAAUGGGGGAAACCCUGAAGCAGCAACGCCGCGCGGAGGAUGAAGGUUUUCGGAUUGUACACCCCUUUUGGCAGAGAAGAUAAUGACGGUACCUAACGAAUCAGCACCGGCUAACUACGUGCCAGCAGCCGCGGUAAUACGGAGGGGGCAAGCGUUACCCGGAGUUACUGGGCGUAAAGAGCGCGUAGGCGGGAUCGCAAGUCAUAAGUGAAAUGCUGGGGCGAAACCCAGGGACUGCUCUGGAAACUGUGAAGUUGGAGUGUAGGAGAGGUAAGCGGAAUUCCUGGUGUAGCGGUGAAAUGCGUAGAUAUCAGGAGGAAGACCGGCGGCGAAGGCGGCUUACGGGACUGUAACCGACGUUGAGGCUCGAAGGCGUGGGGAGCAAACAGGAUUAGAUACCCUAGUAGUC
rnacentral:rRNA from 1 species